GACGAACGCUGGCGGCGUGCCUAAUACAUGCAAGUAGGACCCAGUUGCGACCGGUUGAGUAACGCGUAGGUAACUACCUAUUAGAGGGGGAUAACUACUGGAAACGAUAGCUAAUACCGCAUACUCGUAGAUGUACCUGCGUUGUAUUAGCUAGUAUGUCGGGUAAUCGCCUGCCUAGGCAACGCUACGUAGCCGCCCUGAGAUGGUGAUCGGCCACACUGGGACGGAGACACGGCCCAGACUCCUACGGGAGGCAGCAGUAGGGAAUCGGCGGCAAUGGGGGGAACCCUGACCGAGCAACGCGGCGGGAGUGAAGAAGGUUUUCGGAUCGUAAAGCUCUGUUGUUAAGGAAGCGGUACUUAACCAGAAAGGGACGGCUAACUACGUGCCAGCAGCCGCGGUAAUAC
rnacentral:rRNA from 1 species